AACUGGGGAGAACAACAGGGAUUGCCCCAGUAACGGCGAGUGAAGCGGCAACAGCUCAAAUUUGAAAUCUGGCCCUCGGGUCCGAGUUGUAAUUUGCAGAGGAUGCUUCGGGCGAGGUGCCUUCCGAGUUCCCUGGAACGGGACGCCAUAGAGGGUGAGAGCCCCGUCUGGUCGGACACCGAGCCCGUGUGAAGCUCCUUCGAAGAGUCGAGUAGUUUGGGAAUGCUGCUCAAAAUGGGAGGUAUAUGUCUUCUAAAGCUAAAUAUUGGCCAGAGACCGAUAGCGCACAAGUAGAGUGAUCGAAAGAUGAAAAGCACUUUGAAAAGAGGGUUAAAAAGUACGUGAAAUUGUUGAAAGGGAAGCGCCCAUGACCAGACUUGGGCCCGGUGAAUCAUCCGGCGUUCUCGCCGGUGCACUUUGCCGGGCACAGGCCAGCAUCAGUCUGGCGCGGGGGAUAAAGGCUUCGGGAAUGUGGCUCCCUCGGGAGUGUUAUAGCCCGUUGCGCAAUACCCUGCGCCGGACUGAGGUACGCGCAUCGCAAGGAUGCUGGCGUAAUGGUCAUCAGCGACCCGUCUUGAAACACGGACCAAGGAGUCGUCUUCGUAUGCGAGUGUUCGGGUGUCAAACCCCUACGCGGAAUGAAAGUGAACGCAGGUGAGAGCUUCGGCGCAUCAUCGACCGAUCCUGAUGUUCUCGGAUGGAUUUGAGUAAGAGCAUACGGGGCCGGACCCGAAAGAAGGUGAACUAUGCCUGUAUAGGGUGAAGCCAGAGGAAACUCUGGUGGAAGCUCGCAGCGGUUCUGACGUGCGAAUCGAUCGUCAAAUAUGGGCAUGGGGGCGAAAGACUAAUCGAACCUUCUAGUAGCUGGUUUCCGCCGAAGUCU
rnacentral:rRNA from 1 species